rnacentral:rRNA from 1 species
UACAGAGGGUGCAAGCGUUAAUCGGAAUUACUGGGCGUAAAGGGCGCGUAGGCGGCCACCUAAGUCGGACGUGAAAUCCCUCGGCUCAACCGAGGAACUGCGUCUGAUACUGGGUGGCUUGAGUUCGGGAGAGGGAUGUGGAAUUCCAGGUGUAGCGGUGAAAUGCGUAGAUAUCUGGAGGAACAUCUGUGGCGAAGGCGGCAUCCUGGACCGACACUGACGCUGAGGCGCGAAAGCCAGGGGAGCAAACGGGAUUAGAUACCCCUGUAGU